CUACAAAGUCUGGCUGACCUUAGUACAGACGACCUCAGACAGUUUUCUGGAGUAGAAGAGAAUCUUACAUCUCAUCAGAGACAGAAACUUGCUAAAACUCACCUCACCAAAAUCGUGCACUACAAAGAGGAACAACUGCAGUGCUUUGCUUACAUCUUGGAGAACUGUCUGUUUAUGUUGUGGCGCCACCUGGAGUAUUAUUUUAUUCACUGCGUUCCUGUCAAUCAGCAGACAUCUACGUACCCGAGUCAGACUCGCAGACACACUCAACUCAGGAGGCUUCAAGGUUAGACAGGCUGUUUGAGUUUACGAGUUGGCGAAUCUGAUGCAGACUCUUUACCAGACAUAGACAGACAGCUUAUGAUGGGGGUGACCAGUGAAGAUAUAGAGACACUGAAGCAGACAGCAAACUCUGUUAUACAUGACUCACUCCUCAGAAAGAUACAAAAGAUUG